ACGUAGGGUGCAAGCGUUAAUCGGAAUUACUGGGCGUAAAGCGUGCGCAGGCGGUUUUGUAAGCCAGAUGUGAAAUCCCCGGGCUUAACCUGGGAAUGGCAUUUGGGACUGCAAGGCUGGAGUGUGGCAGAGGAGACUGGAAUUCCGUGUGUAGCGGUGAAAUGCGUAGAUAUACGGAGGAAUACCUGAGGCGAAGGCGGGUUGCUGGGCCAACACUGACGCUGAGGCGCGAAAGCCAGGGGAGCAAACGGGA
rnacentral:rRNA from 1 species